AGAGUGGACUGAGUCUGACUUCAGCCCAGAAAUUUGAAGAGCAGGAGAGACGUGUUGGAGGGCUGCUGCUUUGUCAGCUGAGUAGAGGUGGCAUGUCUCUCAUGAUUUUUAGCAUUCGUGAUAUGGGCUCAUCACGUUUCACCUCUUACUCUCCUGUGGAUGUGGAUAGGCAUCCAGAACAAAGAUGAGGUGGAAUCUUGAAACAUGCAAGGCUGAUGGCGG